rnacentral:tRNA from 1 species
GUGCCAAUAGCUCAGCAGGAUAGAGCGUCUGCCUCCUAAGCAGAAGGUCGGGGGUUCGAAUCCCUUUUGGCACGCCA